AUACGGAGGGUGCGAGCGUUACUCGGAGUCACUGGGCGUAAAGCGCGCGUAGGCGGCUUGGUAAGUCGGAUGUGAAAUCCCCGGGCUUAACCUGGGAAUUGCAUUCGAUACUGUCCGGCUAGAGUGUGGUAGAGGGAAGUGGAAUUUCCGGUGUAGCGGUGAAAUGCGUAGAUAUCGGAAGGAACACCAGUGGCGAAGGCGGCUUCCUGGACCAACACUGACGCUGAGGCGCGAAAGCGUGGGGAGCAAACAGGAUUAGAAACCCUAGUAGUCC
rnacentral:rRNA from 1 species